UGUUUAUAUGGAGCAUUUUCAUUCCGAUUGGGCUUCUAAUCCGAUUAUAUUUGGAAUAUUUGGCUCCAUGUAAACGUAGCUAGAGAGACAGGGAUCAACGUAAAGCGAAUUUAAUGUCCAAAACAGAAAGGGAUAGCUAAGGAAACAAAGGAAGUCCGGGUGGUUGGCUGGUUGGCUGGCUGUCGUGUGGGCUGGAGACACUGCAGGAGAAACCAGAUGAGACAGGAGUUAGAGAACAUGAAAAAGAGUCACUAGGAGCAAAGUUCUCAAAGUUAUACCACGAGGAAGGCCAGGAGACGCGUCUGUACCGCUAGGAAGGGUAGACAAUACUCAGGCGCUGAGACUGAGGGCUGCAGGCUUCUUAAAGUCCCUUAAUUGGAGAUAAGGAGCAGGUGUGUCGUCUCACUCAGCCUCAGCAACGGGGGAGGGGAGGAAGCUCUGGAAAAGAGUACAGCCAGACCAGGCAAACAGGGAAAAACAGGAAGUCCAGCCAAAAUAAAACAGGAUGAGGAGGCGUCUCACCACACAGAAGCCUUGCGCACUGAGCGUGAUGAGUGUUUUUUUUCUAUUAAAUGUGAAAAUUUGCCACAUGAAGAAAAAAAAAAAAAAAUUAGUGUCACUGAGAGGCUGUGGCAUUUGAAGCAGUGAUAUUCCUGUUAAUUUGCUAUCCAUCAGUGAUCACAGAUGACUACAGCUCAGUGUUGCCAACUCCUCAGUAAGGAAAGUCAUUAGUGGCUGUCGUAGAAGUCGCUGGAUGACGUCAUUGCCUAAUUAGGGCCCGAGCCAGCUGCAGAGCAGCCGGGCGUAGGCCCUAUUAUUCCCCAAGUGGUUUUUAGGGCCCGAGCCAGCUGCAGAGCAGCCGGGCGUAGGCCCUAUUAUUCCCCAAGUGGUUUUUCUUUGUUUCUUUCUUUCUUUCUUUAGGGCCCGAGCGUAGCUGCUAAGCAGCUGCGAGAGCCCUCUUGUUCCUGUAGUUUCCUUCUUUUGUUAUUAGGGCCCGAGCGUAGCUGCUAAGCAGCUGCGAGAGCCCUGUUGUUCCUGAUGAGUUUUUCUUUCUUCUUUCUUUCUUUCUUUCUUUCUUUCUUCUUAUUUUUCCUCCCCUUUGAAGGGGAAAAUGGCCCACUUCCCACUGGCGAAAACUCAUGAAAUUUGACAGGACGACCGGGCCUGGUGAAAAAUUCGAUAUUCUGAAGUCGCCCAAACAAUAAAAUGCAAAAUGGCUCCAUAGCGCCCCCUAAGGUGAAAAUUCACACUAUUGACUGUCACGCCUGUACGCUUUGUCAUAUUGACACAAAAAUUGACACACACAUGUAUCUCAAUAAGAUCUACAAAAAAGUCAGCGCGGGCGUAUCUGUCAAAUGUACGGUUAAAGGGUUAUUUCGCAUUUUUUGCCGAUCCGCACACAUUGGAAUUUCGCUAACUCCUCCGAAGGCUUUCGUUCCACCGGCACCACAUUUGCUCAGGCCAAUCUACACCCCAUGGCCAUUAAAAGUUGUACAAAUCAUGACGCUGCACCCCACGGUUUACGUUCUAGGGGGCGCCAAAGAUAACCCAAAGAUCCACAGUCUUAAAAGUCUUAUAACUUUUUAUUUUGUCCUCACUGGCCUCCAAGUUCUCUAGGAUGAUGCAAUGUCCAGCAAUUAACACAUUUGUGAAGGAAUUUUUACUCACCAAAAGAGCGCCCCCCAUGGCAGGAGAAAAAAGUCCAUUUUUUCUUGUCCCCUAAGGCGAAUAUACACAUUGUUGAGUGUCACGCCUGUACGCUUUGUCAUAUUGACACAAAAUUUGACAAUCACGUGUAUCUCAAUAAGAUCUACGAAAAAGUCAAUGUGCGCGUAUCUGUAAAAUGUACAGUUAAAGGGCUAUUUCGCAUUUUUUGCCGAUUCGCACACAUUGGAAUGUGGCUAACUCCUCCUAAGGCUUUCGUUCCACUGACACCAAAUUUGCUCAGGCCAAUCUACACCCCAUGGCCAUUCAAAGUUGUACAAAUCAUGACGCUGCAUCCCACGGUUUACGUUCUAGGGGGCGCCAAAGAUGACCCAAAUAUCCACAUUUUUAAAAGUCUUAUAACUUUAUUUUUGUCCUCACUGGCCUCCAAGUUUUCUAGGAUGAUGCAAUGUUCAGUCAUCAACACAUUUGUGAAGGAAUUUUUUUUCCCCAAAAGAGCGCCCCCCCCAUGGCAGGAGAAAAAGUCAAGUUUUUCCUGCCCAUCGCUCAAUGGCUCAAAUUCAUCGCUCUCUCGGCAAAACCGAAAGGAGGAGCACCUUGCCAUUUGGGUAUAUACUAGCUGUAUUUGUGCCCUCACUCAUGGUCCAGACUUUUUUCAAAAAGGACAUGGAGUUUGUCUGCAGCAAGCGUUUUGGUAGAAACUGCGCCUCCCAUUCAUUAUAAUGGUAAAUGACCACAGACAAGUGCGCACACCAUCUUUGGACCUUUAGUGUGACGCGAUCGGGAGGGGUAGGUGGUCGCGCUGGGAGCGGCGCGACACGGCUCGGGCCCGCCAGUGCCCCAACGGGGCCCUAGUUAUUAUUUUUCCUCCCCUUUGAACUGGAAAAUGGCCCACUUCCCACUGGCGAAAACUCAUGAAAUUUGGCAGGACGACCGGGCCUGGUGAAAAAUUUGAUAUUCCGAAGUCGCCCAAACAAGAAAAUGCAAAAUGGCUCCAUAGCGCCCCCUAAGGUGAAAAUUCACACUAUUCACUGUCACGCCUGUACGCUUUGUCAAAAUGACACAAAAAUUGACACACACAUGUAUCUCAGUAAGAUCUACAAAAAAGUCAGUGCGGGCGUAUCUGUCAAAUGUACGGUUAAAGGGUUAUUUCGCAUUUUUUGCCGAUCUGCACACAUUGGAAUUUCGCUAACUCCUCCGAAGGCUUUCGUUCCACCGGCACCACAUUUGCUCAGGCCAAUCUACACCCCAUGGCCAUUAAAAGUUAUUCAAAUCAUGACGCUGCACCCCACGGUUUAGGUUCUAGGGGGCGCCAAAAAUAACCCUAAAAUCCACAUAUUUAAAAGUCUUAUAACUUUUUAUUUUUGCCCUCACUGGCCUCCAAGUUUUCUAGGAUGAUGCAAUGUCCAGCCAUCAACACAUUUGUGAAGGAAUUUUUACUCCCCAAAAGAGCGCCCCCCAUGGCAGGAGAAAAAAGUCAAUUUUUUCUUGUCCCCUAAGGUGAAAAUACACAUUGUUGAGUGUAACACCUGUACGCUUUGGCAAAAUGACACAAAAAUUGACACACACAUGUAUCUCAAUAAGAUCUACGAAAAAGUCAAUGCGCGCGUAUCUGUCAAAUGUACGGUUAAAGGGUUAUUCUGCAUUUUUUGCCGAUCCGCACACAUUGGAAUUUCGCUAACUCCUCCGAAGGCUUUCGUUCCACCGGCACCACAUUUGCUCAGGCCAAUCUACACCCCAUGGCCAUUAAAAGUUAUUCAAAUCAUGACGCUGCAUCCCACGGUUUAGGUUCUAGGGGGCGCCAAAGAUAACCCUAAAAUCCACAUAUUUAAAAGUCUUAUAACUUUUUAUUUUUGUCCUCACUGGCCUCCAAGUUUUCUAGGAUGAUGCAAUGUCCAGCCAUCAACACAUUUGUGAAGGAAUUUUUACUCCCCAAAAGAGCGCCCCCCCAUGGCAGGAGAAAAAAGUCAAUUUUUUCUUGUCCCCUAAGGUGGAAAUUCACACUAUUGACUGUCACGCCUGUACGCUUUAUCAUAUUGACACAAAAAUUGACACACCUAUGUAUCUCAAUAAGAUCUACAAAAAAGUCAAUUCGCGCGUAUCUGUCAAAUGUACGGUUUAAGGGCUAUUUUGCAUUUCUUGCCGAUUCGCACACAUUGGAAUGUGGCUAACUCCUCCUAAGGCUUUCGUCCCUCUGACACCAAAUUUGCUCAGGCCAAUCUACACCCCAUGGCCAUUCAAAGUUGUAAAAAUCAUGACGCUGCACCCCACGGUUUACGUUCUAGGGGGCGCCAAAAAUGACCCAAAAAUCCACAUUCUUAAAAGAAUCCACAUCCCCCCCCCUAUGGCAGGAGAAAAAGUCAAGUUUUUCCUGCCCAUCGCUCAAUGGCUCAAUCGCAUCGCUCUCCAGGCAACACCGUAAGGAGGAGCAACCUCGCAUUUCGAUAUAUCAUAGCUGUGUUUGUGCCCUCACUCAUGGUCCAGACUUUUUUCAAAUAGGACAUGAAGUUUGUCUGCAGCGAGUGUUUUGGUAGAAACUGCGCCUCCCAUUCAUUAUAAUGGGAAAUGACCACAGACAAGUGCGCACACCAUCUUUGGUUCUUGAGUGUGACUCGAUCGGGACGGGGAGGCGGUCGCACUGGGGGCGGCGCGACGCGGCUCGGGCCCGACAGUGCCCCACCGGGGCCCUAGUUCUUUCUUUCUUAGGGCCCGAGCGUAGCUGCUAAGCAGCUGCGAGAGCCCUCUUGUUCCUGUAGUUUCCUUCUUUUGUUAUUAUUAUUAUUAGGGCCCGAGCCAGCUGCAGAGCAGCCGGGCGUAGGCCCUAUUAUUCCCCAAGUGGUUUUUCUUUGUUUCUUUCUUUCUUUCUUUCUUUCUUUCUUUCUUCUUUUUCCUCCCCUUUGAACUGGAAAAUGGCCCACUUCCCACUGGCGAAAACUCAUGAAAUUUGGCAGGACGACCGGGCCUGGUGAAAAAUUCGAUAUUCUGAAGUCGCCCAAACAAUAAAAUGCAAAAUGGCUCCAUAGCGCCCCCUAAGGUGGAAAUUCACACUAUUGACUGUCACGCCUGUACGCUUUGUCAUAUUGACACAAAAAUUGACACACAUAUGUAUCUCAAUAAGAUCUACAAAAAAGUCAGUGCGGCCGUAUCUGUCAAAUGUACGGUCAAAGGGUUAUUUCGCAUUUUUUGCCGAUCCGCACACAUUGGAAUUUCGCUAACUCCUCCGAAGGCUUUCGUUCCACCGGCACCACAUUUGCUCAGGCCAAUCUACACCCCAUGGCCAUUAAAAGUUAUCAAAAUCAUGACGCUGCACCCCAAGGUUUAGGUUCUAGGGGGCGCCAAAGAUAACACUAAAAUCCACAUAUUUAAAAGUCUUAUAACUUUUUAUUUUUGUCCUCACUGGCCUCCAAGUUUUCUAGGAUGAUGCAAUGUCCAGCCAUCAACACAUUUGUGAAGGAAUUUUUACUCCCCAAAAGAGCGCCCCCCCAUGGCAGGAGAAAAAAGUCCAUUUUUUCUUGUCCCCUAAGGUGAAAAUACACAUUCUUGAGUGUCACGCCUAUACGCUUUGUCAAAAUGACACAAAAAUUGACACACACAUGUAACUCAAUAAGAUCUACAAAAAAGUCCACGCGCGCGUAUCUGUCAAAUGUACAGUUAAAGGGUUAUUCCGCAUUUUUUGCCGAUACGCACACAUUGGAAUUUCGCUAACUCCUCCGAAGGCUUUCGUUCCACCGGCACCACAUUUGCUCAGGCCAAUCUACACCCCAUGGCCAUUAAAAGUUAUUCAAAUCAUGAUGCUGCACCCCAUGGUUUAGGUUCUAGGGGGCGCCAAAAAUAACCCAAAAAUCCACAUUCUUAAAUGUUUUAUAACUUUUUAUUUUUGUCCUCACUGGCCUCCAAGUUCUCUAGGAUGAUGCAAUGUCCAGCCAUCAACACAUUUGUGAAGGAAUUUUUACUCCCCAAAAGAGCGCCCCCCCAUGGUAGGAGAAAAAAGUCCAUUUUUUCUUGUCCCCUUACAUGAAAAUACACAUUGUUGAGUGUCACGCCUGAACGCUUUGUCAUAUUGACACAAAAAUUGACAAUCAUGUGUAUCUCAAUUAGAUCUACGAAAAAGUCAAAGAGCGCGUAUCUUUAUAAUGUACGGUUAAAGGGCUAUUUUGCAUUUUUUGCCGAUUCGCACACAUUGGAAUGUGGCUAUCUCCUCCUAAGGCUUUCGUCCCACCGAUACCAAAUUUGCUCAGGGCAAUCUACACCCCAUGCCCAUUCAAAGUUGUAAAAAUCAUGACGCUGCACCCCACGGUUUACGUUCUAGGGGGCGCCAAAGAUGACCCAAAAAUCCACAUUCUUAAAAGUCAUUUUGGCCACUGCAGGAGUACAGAGUACUGCAGUUCUAGGGGGCGCCAAAGAUGACCCAAAAAUCCACAUUCUUAAAAGGUUUUUUUGGCCACUGCAGGAGUACAGAGUACUGCAGGAUACACACACAUAUACACACACGCCAACAUACACACACACACAGACACACACACACACAGACACACACACACACUCAGAGUCUGUUUUUUAGCACCUGCAAAAACAUGCUGUUUACAUAUUUGACAAGAAUGCAGAGGUUUCCUUUUGCCCCUGAAAAAAAUCAAAUUUCAAACACAACUUGACUGUUCAUUUCUCCAAAAGACAACCAUGAAGCUCCAUUUCAAACCUGAAGCAGAUAGUUGGUGCAUGUGUACAGUAACCUGAGGGGAGUGAGGUGACUAUUUCUGAGGAGAACAUGAGCAGUGAAGAUUCACCUUGGAGCUAGAACAGGGACGUGCACAUGAUUAUACAGGGGCAGGGGCUCAAGUUUUUUCCAGUCAUUUAUACAAUAUGGAAAUUAAUGUGAAAUUAAACCACAAAUAUGUGUGAUGAACUGUUUUUAAAACUUAAACUUCAAAUAAAAAUUGUAAACUUCAAAACAUAUGCAAAUUUUUAACAAAGAACAUAGUAAUUUACCUCUAUUUACAUCAAAAUGCAGGCAAUGGCCCAGGCGUUCUUUGUAAAAUUAUUUACAAAACACUGUAUAGUCUCACAAAUGUCACUUUUUAUUUAUGCCACUACAAAAAAACAUGAUGUAAAUGAUGCAUGAUGUAAAACAUGAUGUAAAAAACUUGUGUAGAUCCUCCUCUAUGUCAGUCCAUGUGUAAUUUUUCCAUAAUUCUUUGUUUUUUGCAGCAUUUUUGUUAGUGUAACUGCAGAUUGUGCUGACAGUGUCUAUGGCACAAAAAAAAAAAAAAAAUUAAAAUGCCUCAACAUGAACCCCUGGUGGUCUCUGAGGGUGAAACCUGCUAACUGCUGCAGCUCUGUCAGCUUCAGUCUCCCAUGCAGAGCUCUGAGCGCAUGUGUGGCUCUGCACCCUUAGCAGCGUUGCUAACUCCUCAGUAAGGAAAGCCUGCUUCAUGUCAGAGUCUCUAAACUCCAGAAGAAGUCGAUAAAAGUCCCUUUCUUUCUAAAAAAAGUCGUUAGGGGGUCUGAAAAGUCAUUGAAUCUAACAACAAAGUCGCUAGGUUUGCAACUACGUGUCCCAGACUGCAUCCCUGCUGAGAGUCCCUCCCUCCCUUCUCAUAUUGCAGGAAGAACGUAAGUUCCCGCCCCUUGUCAAUCAGUCACCAUAUAAUUUUGGAUUGGUUGUUGUGGUGAAGUUUUCCACCAAUAGGAGAGAUGUUGUGGUGUGUUUUUUUUUUCUUUUGGCAAGCCUUUUCCGCCUGUAAGACCUGUCGCUAAUGUCUGCAUGCUAUGUUUUCCUGUCACAUACAGCGCGAUCGAGCGCCGAGCGUGAUCAAAAUAAGCAGAAAAAAAGUAUCGCGGACAUAAUUUAUCAUAACUCUGGUUUUAUUUGGCCUAUCAACACAAUUUAAAAACUGGUAUAUAGGUUGAGGUCCUCACUUUUGAGAUAAGUUGAAACGGAGAGUCAACAAGGCUCCGUCUUGCAGCUACAUCCGGUUAAAUAUGUCAUGUGACUUGAACGCACACACAGACACACACACGCACACACACACACACACACACACACACACACACACACUCAGAGUCUGGUUUUUAGCACCUGCAAAAACAUGCUAUUUACAUAUUUGACAAGAAUGCAGAGGCUCCUUUUGCCCCUGAAAAAAAUCAAAUUUCAAACACAACUUGACUGGUCAUUUCUCCAAAAGACAACCAUGAAGCUCCAUCCAAACCUGAAGCAGGCAGUUGGUGCAUGUGUACAGUAACCUGAGGGGAGUGAGGUGAGUGCUUCUGAGGAGAACAUGAGCAGUGAAGAUUCACCUUGGAGCUAGAACAGAGACAUGCACAUGAUUAUACAGGGGCAGGGGCUCAAGUUUUUUCCAGUCGUUUAUACAAUAUGGAAAUUAAUGUGAAAUUAAAACACAAAGUAUUAAUAGAAAGGUAAUGACUGUCCUGUGUAGGUGACAGUGAUAUCCAAUAAGCUAGGCACUCACGAGGCUGGCUGUGGCAAGUGUAAGUGAAAGCAACACGCACUGGCAGGAAGAACAGCAAACGCCGAUGAAGGAAAAGGGUCUUUGCAGUGAUGGGCGUUAACAGAGAGGGCGAUGGCCAGAGGACACAAAUGGGACGGGGAGGCAGCACGUUGGGGGGGGGGGGGGGGAGACGCGACACGGCUCGGGCCCGCCAGUGCCCCAACGGGGUCCUAGUUAUUAUUUUUCCUCCCCUUUGAACUGGAAAAUGGCCCACUUCCCACUGGCGAAAACUCAUGAAAUUUGGCAGGACGACCGGGCCUGGUGAAAAAUUUGAUAUUCCGAAGUCGCCCAAACAAGAAAAUGCAAAAUGGCUCCAUAGCGC